rnacentral:rRNA from 1 species
UACGUAGGGUGCGAGCGUUAAUCGGAAUUACUGGGCGUAAAGCAUGCGCAGGCGGUUAUUUAAGUCAGGUGUGAAAGCCCUGGGCUUAACCUAGGAAUUGCGCUUGAGACUGGAUAGCUUGGAGUGCGGCAGAGGGAGGUGGAAUUCCACGUGUAGCAGUGAAAUGCGUAGAGAUGUGGAGGAACACCGAUGGCGAAGGCAGCCUCCUGGGCCAGCACUGACGCUCAUGCACGAAAGCGUGGGGAGCAAACAGG